GGCAGUUUGGGUGCUGUUCUCUUGAGCAGUGUCCCCAGCUCAGGUGAGGCCCAUGACUGCCGGCCUGUUUCCGGGUACCGACCGAAGUGGACAGGCAGCUUCCUGCUACAGGGUGGAUGCUUUGCAGAGGAAUUUCCAGAAAUGCUGAGAAGUGCUGACUCACAGCUUACGGCCUGUCUGGGCUGAGGGGAGGUUUUCACGUCCUUGGCUGAAGCCAGCAAAAAAUGUUGCUGUAAUGUACUGUUUUAUUUUUAGCAGGGGGAGGCUGUGUUGCUCAGGAUGAGAAGCUUGCAAGCGGUUUCAAGAUGACAGGCGCUUUUAAGGGUUUGUUUUUUUUUUCCUUUUCUAUUUUUAGAACUUGGAAAACAGGUUGUUUUGCUAAAAUACAGACGCUUCUCUGUUUCCCCACUAAAUGGGUUGUUGUAAAGGAGCCUUAAGGAGUUCGUGCAGGAAGGCUUUUACCGCCCCUGCAGGUCAGAAUGUCCUUCAGGGGAGGAGAUACUGAAGUAUUUGAGAUUGAAACUCAGCUGGCACCUACUUGCGCGGUAUUUCUCACUUCUGCUGAGGUGGGACUGCAGCUGCAAUUGUUGGAGCUGAAAUGUGGCCAGGUUAGAAGCUGGAUGGCCAACUAUCAUUUAAAACUUAAACUAAGUGAAGGUUUGCCUCUUCUGAGUCGAAUGUGAUGUCAGUCUUCUUCAGGAUUCCCAGGUAUCUCUUGUGGCCCCAGUAAUCAGUAUGUCAAAAAAUAAAUACAUUUACAGCUGUUGAGAAGACUCGUGCUAACAUUGCUGGACGUAGGCUGAGAAUACGCAUUGCGUUGAGGACAGAGAAACAGAAAGUCUUGGCAACUUCUACUGUGCCAGAGACUUUGUUCUGCUCAGUGAGGAGGGGUGCAGCUCCCAAGAAAGAUGUCAAAUACAGUAAUUAAUGUUCUCCCUUUGUGUGAUGGAUACCAUCUGUAUUUAGAAACAUCUGAGCUUGCGCUUGAAUACAAGUCACGUAGCAUUUUUAUUGGUAUAGUGAAGAACUUGAGUAUCUUUAUUCAUGAUACUUGAGGCUUUGCUCCCAGACAUAGUUUAGAAAUGCAUGACAUUCCUUUUACGUUUCGAAGUGAAAAGUGAGCCAGGGUGAGCAGGAAGGACAUUCCGUAGCUCGGUGAAUCUUUUAGCAGUUUUUCAUUGUGUCAUAUUUGUUUUUAUAGAAGCAACUUCAAACUAGGGCAAUAGGAGCAGCAAAUUAGUUUUUGCCUCAUAUAAAAGCAAACAUGAUCAGCAUCUGCUCAUCCGCCAGGGAUAUUCAUGGAGUCAAUUAUAAUCAGGAUAUACAACUUUCCUCUUUUGACAGCCUUCACUAAGACUGGUCAAAAUACAGUGUCUUCAAAACAAUGUUUUUAGUUUUUCUUCCUUCUUAGCUUCCCCUGUUUCCCUAGCAGUGAAACGCCAGUGACCUUAUCUGAAAUAAUCUGUGUUUGUAUCCAUGUCUCUUACAUCUGGGAUGUGGCUCCAGUAAUUCUGCAAUGUAGCAAGUUACUUGCUAUCGUAGUCAUGUAAUAUCUUUUCCUUUUUCUUUAUUCCCUUUGUUUCAGAAUAUAAACAUCAGCAAUUAUCUUCAUUAAUCCUCUUUCUGUUGUACAUCUCCUCUUUCCCUCUCCCUGUUUUUGAGGAAAAGUAGUAAAAGGCAAGUUCAUUGUUUUCCAGCUAAGGUCUGCUAGUUUCUAUGAGGAAGAAUGUCCUUUUUGUCUUAAACAUGCUUGUUUUGUGUUGUCUUAAUCUGCUUGGAAGGAAUUGCUGUCUAAAUCAAUACACCUGUUCUGUAACCUACCUGAACAGAUAAAAAAGUGGCCUGGAAGAAAGGUUUGGGGCAAUAAUUGCAAAUUUCUUGACAACAUAACAUUGCCAAAUGGGAAAUUCCAUGGUCCAGCAAAUAUAUGCAAAAAUCAUUAAGAUACUGUAAAUCUGAUUUUGAAGUCAAGAAAAGAGAUGCCAGUUAGGCUGGAAACCUAACUGUGCCAGCACUGGGUUAGAGUUUUCUCCUGAAGCAAACCUAAAUUUAAGAGAGUGCAUGUAACCUCAGCUGUGCCAAAGCCCUCCCAAGUUCACAGUUUGUCCAGGGACAGAGGAGGAUCGUAUGCCAUGAUCAAAUGCUACCACCUUGUCAUGGUAGUCUGUGUCAUACAGCUGGACAUACGCCAGUCACAUGGUCAAAAUUUCAUCCCCUUCUCUGCUGGCUCUUGACCUGGCACACACUUGAAUGUCUUGUAGUAUAAGGAAGGAGCAUAAUCAAAGAAUACUAGAUAAGGAAACCAGACUUUGUAUUCAAAAUACUCUUUACAUUCUGGAUUUCAUUUGGCUUAUGCCACAGGCUUCUCAUAAAACCUCCAGCAAGUUAUUUGUUGUGAGCCUUGAUUUUGCAUAUAAGAAAAUGAAAAUAACAGUGCUUCUCAGUUUCACUGCAUUAUUAGUAAAUAAAGUUAGUGUUAUUGAAAUGCUGGCCUACUGGGUUUGAGAGAGGGCCAGAAAAGAGGAGAGGGAGAGGGAAUUCCCUUUUCUUAGGGAGUUUGGAUAAGUGAUGCCAGAGACUGCUGUAGUUCCCAGGAGCAGCAACGCAUUAAGAGAGACUUAAAGAUGCUGCCUGGCUACCUCUUUAUGAGCUCUGAAUCUUGUGCUUCUCUUUAGAGGCAUGUGCACACUCACCUUUAGGAUGUAUUUGCUCAUAUGAAAUGUGAGAAUAUAUAAAUAUUAUUAGAUGUAUUAUAAAUGUACCUAAGAUUAUUUACUGACAAUUAGCCAGAGAAAUUCACUCUGAAUUUGAGAGGAAAGAGGAGAACUUCUGCUCAGACCAAGUAUUUUGUUUGUGUUGUAAGCAGCUACAGAAAGACUAAGGGAAGAGUUGGUGGAACAUCAAGAAAUUUGAAAUGUAGUAUGUA